GAUGAACGCUGGCGGCGUGCUUAACACAUGCAAGUCGAACGGAAAGGCCCAAGCUUGCUUGGGUACUCGAGUGGCGAACGGGUGAGUAACACGUGGGUGAUCUGCCCUGCACUUCGGGAUAAGCCUGGGAAACUGGGUCUAAUACCGGAUAGGACGAUGGUUUGGAUGCCAUUGUGGAAAGUUUUUUCGGUGUGGGAUGAGCUCGCGGCCUAUCAGCUUAUUGGUGGGGUAAUGGCCUACCAAGGCGUCGACGGGUAGCCGGCCUGAGAGGGUGUACGGCCACAUUGGGACUGAGAUACGGCCCAGACUCCUACGGGAGGCAGCAGUGGGGAAUAUUGCACAAUGGGCGCAAGCCUGAUGCAGCGACGCCGCGUGGGGGAUGACGGCCUUCGGGUUGUAAACUCCUUUCGCUAGGGACGAAGCGUUUUUGUGACGGUACCUGGAGAAGAAGCACCGGCUAACUACGUG
rnacentral:rRNA from 1 species